rnacentral:tRNA from 1 species
GCAGUUGUGGCCGAGUGAUCAAGGCGACGGGCUAACAGUCCAUUGGGGUCUCCCCGCACAGGUUCGAAUCCUGUCGACUGCG